rnacentral:rRNA from 1 species
GACGAACGCUGGCGGCGUGCUUAACACAUGCAAGUCGAACGAGACGAUUGAAAGCUUGCUUUCGAAAGUCGAGUGGCAAACGGGUGAGUAACGCGUAGACAACCUGCCUUUGAGAUGGGGACAACAGUUCGAAAGGACUGCUAAUACCGAAUGUUGUAUAUUUUCCACAUGGAAGAUAUAUUAAAGAUGGCCUCUAUUUAUAAGCUAUCGCUCAAAGAUGGGUCUGCGUCCGAUUAGCUGGUUGGUGGGGUAACGGCCUACCAAGGCGACGAUCAGUAGCCGGUCUGAGAGGAUGAACGGCCACAUUGGGACUGAGACACGGCCCAGACUCCUACGGGAGGCAGCAGUGGGGAAUCUUCCACAAUGGACGAAAGUCUGAUGGAGCAACGCCGCGUGAGUGAAGAAGGGUUUCGGCUCGUAAAGCUCUGUUGUCGGGGACGAAUGUGCAGUAUUUGAAUAAAGUACUGCAAUGACGGUACCUGACGAGGAAGCCACGGCUAACUACGUGACAGCAGCCGCGGUAA